AUACGUAGGCAGCGAGCGUUGUUCGGAGUUACUGGGCGUAAAGAGUGCGUAGGCGGUUUUCUAAGUUUGGUGUGAAAUCUCCCGGCUCAACUGGGAGGGUGCGCCGAAGACUGGAAGGCUAGAGUAUGGGAGAGGUAAGCGGAAUUCCUGGUGUAGCGGUGAAAUGCGUAGAUAUCAGGAGGAACACCUGCGGUGUAGACGGCUUACUGGACCACCACUGACGCUGAGGCACGAAAGCGUGGGUAGCAAACA
rnacentral:rRNA from 1 species